GGAACACGCACAGAAAGUAUAAAUCAGGCCACUUCCCAACGCCGUGCGCAAAAGAAUAGCACGAGCGUGCGGGGACACAGCUGGAGGGAGCGGGGCUGUGGCAGCGGGGGACAGCAAGGACAAACAGCAAGUGGCAGAGAUAAGGAACGUCACCCAGGAGGUCAGCAAACAAGGAGAGAAAGAGCAGGUGGAGGGGGGCUCCUCUCAGCAAGGAGGAAUGUGACCGGCCAAAGUGGAAAUCAGCAGAAGGUUUGGGGCUAUUCCACCUCCCCCUCCCUCAGACACAUGGAACUGCAGUCGGUGACCAGCGUCAGCUGUUCUCUUACUCAUCCUGGCUCGAACAAUGAUAUUCCACACCACAUUAUACAACACCCCGGUACUCGCUGCCUCAUCGCCCCCAACCCCUCGGCUCCCCACAUCACAGGUCGCGCGGGCCGGCGGGCGGCGGAGGAUUCCUGCUCCUCAUUGUCCUUGAGCGCCGGCUUCAGGACUCAUUGUUGCGAAUGAAAGGGGAGAGGAUCUUUGCCUCCAGGAACAUACGUGUUACGUGACAGGCGCCCUCUCAGCAAGCCCACAGCCUGCUUUGCUCCUCGCCUGGGGGGCGACGCCUGGCACCAGCAGCCCCCGGGGAAGCAGGAGCGUGCGGCGAGGCUCCGCGUGUCUCCAGGAAGGACCAGGAGGUGGGCGCUCCUCUCCUCUUCCCGGAGCUUUCCCAAGCCCCAGCAUCUCUGCCCCUAAGAUAUUUGCUUGACCUGGCUCUGGAUUAGGUGUUCCUGGGCAGAAAAGACCCCCUCGGUUUGGGUAGGAGGUCCCCAAGCCCCUUUCCCUGCGAGCAGCAGCAGUCGGGUCUCACGGCACACUUUGCUCGUACCGGGGCUCAAACUGUGGCCCCGCUACAUCUGCAAGCGAUUUUGGUCAUUUGAUAUUUGUCUCUGCUAAUGUAUGGCACUAACUACCUCUUUGAAGAAGCGGCCCUGAUUAAAUUAUUACCCACAGAAUGCAGAGAAGCACAAGUCAAGGAGGCUGGAGCAGGCACAAAGCAACGGCGAGAGGGUUUCCAGCACGCGCCCCGUUGGGUUUCCCUCUGACAAAGGGUUGAAACCAGGGCUACAACCUGCUCCGUGGAGAAGUGUGCUUCCUUCUGCCAGCUCCAUCUGCCCUCCUAGCCCCUCCUGAGGAGCACUCAUCCUGCCCUUCCCCAGGCACACCCCACCUGCAGCCGCACCUGAUGGGGGCACACCACAAAUCUGGGCUGAUGGUGCAUCAUCGCUGCCUCUAAAGCACCCUAAAGCCCUGGCUUUGAAGAGGGUAAAUCCAGGGAAUUUAUAUCAAAGCAGGAGCAGCCAUAAGGAACUCAUAUGGUGUUGUCAUCUUCUGCUCACUCCUGGGUUAUUGGGAGCUGCGGGCUCGGGUCCAGCCGAGGGACCUCCCCAGGUGACCUGGGAUUUCGGGGAUUUGCUGCCUCAGGUCUGGUGGUGUUACGUGACAGCAAUAACCACGGGAAGAA
rnacentral:lncRNA from 1 species